ensembl:lncRNA
CCUUGGUGGCAUCUGGGGACAUCUGGGAGCACCUGGAGACACCUUGGGGACAUGAGGGUGGCAUCUGGGGACACCCGGGUGGCAUCUGGGGACACCUGGGUGGUAUCUGGGGACACCUUGGUGGCAUAUGAGGACACCUGGGAAAACUUAGGGACACCUGGGUGGCAUCUAGGGACAUCUGGGAGCACCUGGCUGGCACUUGGGGACAUCUGGGUGGCACUUGGGGACACCUUGGUGGCACCUGGGGGCACCUGGUGGCAUCUGGGUGGUGUCUAUGGACACCUUAGUGGCAUCUAGGGACAUCUGUGUGGCGCUUGGGGACAUCUGGGAAAACUUAGGGACACCUGGAGGCACCUGGGUGGCACUUGGGGACACCUGGGUGUCAUCUGGGGACACUUGGGGAUGCCUGAGGACACUUUGGUGGCAGCUGGGCCUACCUUGGUGGCACCUUGGGACACCUGGAGGCAUCUGGGGACGCCUUGGUGGAAUCUGGGAACAUCUAGGAGCACCUGGAGACACCUUGGGGACACCUGGGUGGUGUCUAGGGACAUCUGGAGGCACCUGGGUGGCACUUGGGGACACCUUGGUGGUGCUUAGGGACAUCUGGGGACACCUUGGGGACAUCUCAGGACACUUGUGUAGCACCUUGGGACCCCUGGUGGCAUCUGGAGGCACUUGGGGACACCUGGGUGGUGUCUAGGGACAUCUGCAGCACCUCGGUAGCACUUGGGGACACCUAGCUGGCAUCUGGAGACACCUGGGUGGCACUUGGGGACACCCAGGGGUACCUUGGUGGCACUUGGGGAUGCCUGGGGACAUCUGGGUAGCGCCUGGGCACACCUUGGUGGCAUCUGGGGACAUCUGGAGGUACCUGGGUGGCACUUGGGGACACCUGGGAAAACUUAGGGGCAUCUGGGUGGUGUCUAGGGACACCUGGGGACACCUUGGUGGCACCUGGGGGCACCCAGGUGGCAUCUGGGGACAUCUGGGAGCACCGGGAGACACCUUGGGGACAUCUGGGUGGUGUCUAGGGACACCUUGGUGGCAUCUGGGGACACCUGGGGAACACCUUGGUGGCAUCUGGGGACACCUGGGUGGCAUCUGGGGACAUCUGGGAGCACCGGGAGACACCUUGGGGACACCUGGGUGGUGUCUAGGGACACCUUGGUGGCAUCUGGGGACACCUGGGUGGCUUCACAUCCGUCCCCAAGGGAUUAAGAAGGAACCUGGGCAGCUCCGUGGGUGGCAUUGUCACCUCCUUGUCACCUCAUCGUUGUCCCCUCACUGUCCCCUCCUGUCCCCAGGGAGUUCCUGCGGGAGGCGCUGGCCCCGGCCACCUCGGAGCUGCUCCUGGUGGUGGCACCGGAGGUGGAGCAGCAGNGGACACCUGGGUGGCAUCUGGGGACACCUGGGUGGCAUCUGGGGACACUUGGGGACACGCGGCUGCCGCUGGCCCGCCCGCACUGGCUCUGCGUGUGCCGCCUCGGCCGCCUCUUCUACAACCUGGACUCCAAACUGCCCGCGCCCGCCGCCAUCGGCCACGAGCCCCAGCUCAGGGAGUUCCUGCGGGAGGCGCUGGCCCCGGCCACCUCGGA